rnacentral:rRNA from 1 species
UGAGGAAUCUUGCACAAUGGGCGAAAGCCUGAUGCAGCGACGCCGCGUGAGGGACGAAGGCCUUCGGGUUGUAAACCUCUGUCAGUGGGGAAGAAGAAUGACGGUACCCACUGAGGAAGCUUCGGCUAACUACGUGCCAGCAGCCGCGGUAAUACGUAGGGAGCAAGCGUUGCCCGGAAUUACUGGGCGUAAAGAGCUCGUAGGCGGGGGCGUGCGUCGGAGAAGAAAUCUCAAGGCUCAACCUUGGGGCUAUCUCCGAUACGGCGCUUCUUGAGGGUGAGAGAGGAAAGCGGAAUUCCAGGUGUAGCGGUGAAAUGCGUAGAUAUCUGGAGGAACACCAGCGGCGAAGGCGGCUUUCUGGCUCAUUCCUGACGCUGAGGAGCGAAAGCGUGGGUAGCGAACGGG